rnacentral:rRNA from 1 species
UACGGAGGGGGCAAGCGUUAUUCGGAAUUACUGGGCGUAAAGCGCGCGCAGGUGGCGUGGUAAGUGGCAGGUGAAAGCCCUCGGCUCAACCGAGGAAUUGCCUGCCAAACUGUCAUGCUUGAGGCCGGGAGGGGAAAGCGGAAUUCCUGGUGUAGCGGUGAAAUGCGUAGAUACCAGGAGGAACACCGGUGGCGAAGGCGGCUUUCUGGACCGGUUCUGACACUCAUGCGCGAAAGCGUGGGGAGCAAACAGG